rnacentral:lncRNA from 1 species
UUUAAAUAGGCAUAGAGGGAGAUAGGAGAGUCCAAAUGGGGUGCGGUUUUCGCCCACACGAUCGUGAUCGAACGACCGAGAGCAUGGAAGGGAGUUAGAUGGGUUAUUGGGCUGUUUUGGAGGGGUGUUGGGCUGCAACUUAAAAGAGGCCUUUGCGAGAGUGCGGUUAACCGUUGGAGUACCAAACGAGCUCCAAAUGACCCGAAACUUGACAGGUGGUCUACCGGUGCUAUACCAGGGCCACUUGGCAAGGCUCGGUCCAUUCCGAGAAUGUUCAACACCCGCACACAGAAAAAUGUAAAAGGGGACGCCGGGGAACAUAGGAGUGCCGGAUUGCAAAACGGACAACGGGGAAAAAGCUCGGAAUCAUGAGACGAACACGUAUGCAAAUGAGAUGCACAUGAUGACAUGAUAUGAGAUGCAUGACAUGGACAAAAUGCAAAACGACAACAAAACCCAACCACGGAGGGAAUAUCAUAGCACAUAUCCGAAAAUGGCAAGAGUUGGAGUUACAAAUAUGGAAAGAUACAUCCGGGGUGUUACACUACCGCAUGGCACGAUUCAUUGUGCUUCCUCGACGCAUACUCCGGAUACCAUCAAAUCAAGAUGGCGGAACCAGACCAAUCCGCAAUAGCAUUCAUUACUCCAUAUGGACCAUUCUGCUUCAACACAAUGCCCUUCGGACUCAAGAACGCUGGCGCAACAUAUCAGCGCAUGAUUGAGACAUGUCUGGCAACCCAGAUCGGCAAAACAGUGGAGGCAUACAUAGACGAUGUGGUCGUUAAGACCAAACACGUUGAAACUCUAGUAGACGAUUUGAGGCUGAUAUUCGACAACCUCCGAGCAUAUGACAUUAAGCUCAACCCGGAAAAAUGCGUUUUUGGCGUACCAGCCGGAAAGCUCUUGGGCUUCAUUGUAUCCGGUAGAGGAAUUGAAGCAAACCCAGCCAAGAUCCGAGCUCUGUCACAGUUGGAUAUCCCAAAAGACCUCAAACAAAUACAAAAAUUGACUGGAUGCAUAGCGGCUCUAAGCCGCUUCAUCUCCCGUUUGGGAGAAAAGGCAUUGCCCCUCUAUCGCCUCCUCCGGUGCACCGAACACUUCGAAUGGACGGAUGCUGCCAUGGCCGGACUCGAAGAAAUAAAGGCCAUAUUGGCAACAAAUCCAGUUCUGGCCACACCCAACUUGGGCGAACCAAUGUUGUUAUAUAUCGCGGCAACACAUCAAGUUGUAAGCGCGGUGCUCGUCGUCGAACGAGAAACAGAAGGACACAAAUUCCCUCUUCAAAAACUAGUGUACUACGUAUCCACUGUCUUAACUCCAUGCAAGUCCCGGUAUCCACAUUAUCAAAAGAUAGCGUACGCGAUGUUCAUGGCAUCCCGGAAGCUGCAACACUACUUUCAAGAGUGCUCGAUAACAGUGGCCUCCGAAGUUCCUCUCAACGACAUUAUAAACAACCGCGACGCGACAGGCAGGAUUGCAAAAUGGGCCAUUGAGCUCUUACCAUUCGACAUAACCUACAAACCACGACGAGCUAUAAAGUCACAAGUUUUGGCCGACUUCAUCGCCGAAUGGACCGAAGCUGAACUCCCUAAAGAGUACGGCGCAUACUCCAAUUGGAUCAUGCAUUUCGACGGCUCCAAAAUGUUGGCCGGCUUGGGGGCUGGCGUCGUAUUGACGUCCCCAACCGGAGACACAGUCCAAUACGUACUUCAGAUAAUGUACACAGACUGCAACAAUGCAGCCGAAUAUGAGGCCCUUCUACAUGGUCUCCGGAUGGCAAUCUCCAUGGGUAUUGAACGCCUAGAGGUGCACAGGGAUUCAAACCUUGCAAUAUCCCAAGUAAAUGGAGACUUUGACGCCAAGGAUCCGAAAAUGGUAGCCUAUCGUAACGCCGUCUUAAAAAUGUUAGCUCGGUUCGAAGGACUCGAAUUCCACCAUGUAGCCCGGGAUAAUAACCAGGCGGCCGACGUGUUGGCACGCAUUGGCGCAAAGCGCGACGCCAUCCCUCCAAACAUCUUCCUGGAGCGGCUUUUUAAGCCAUCCGUAUUAUGGGAAGAGGAGUCCAGAAACAACAACCCGGAACCAACCGCACCGCCCAACACUAAACAUUCUGACACAAUCGGUGGCUCAGCCAACGAAAUAACACCUUCAGCCCACAAAAUAAUGGCAGUCAUUGCCCCGUGGACGGAACCAUUCCUAGCCUACUUAAUUAGGCAGGAACUUCUCGAAGACCAAAACGAGGCCCGCUGCAUAGUUCCGCGAUCUAAAGCCUACAAGCUCCAUGAGGGAGAGCUUUAUAAGAAAAGCACAACCGGAGUCCUUCAAAGGUGCAUCUUCGAAGAGGAAGGGCGGAAUCUUCUGGCUGAAAUUCACGCCGGACUCGGCGGGCACCACGCCGCAGCCCAGGCCCUUGUGGGCAAGGCCUUCCGUACAGGAUUUUAUUUUCCAACUUCCCGGGCAGAUGCUCAGGACUUAGUCCAACGAUGCGUUGGUUGCCAGCUCUUUGCUAAUCAAAGCCACAUGCCACCCACCGCCCUCAAAACUAUACCCAUCACCUGGCCGUUCGUGGUCUGGGGGCUUGACAUGGCUGGACCCCUUAAAGGGGGAACCCACAAGCAAAAAUACCUAUUGGUCAUGGUGGAUAAAUUCACCAAAUGGAUAGAGGCCAAGACGGUUAAAACGGCCGAACCCGGACCUGCGAUAGACUUCAUAUCUGGGGUAGUACACCGUUAUGGCGUCCCCCACAGCGUCAUCACUGAUAACGACACGAACUUCACGGCCGACGAGGUUAAACUCUGGUGCAAAAACAUGGGCAUCAAGCUCGACUACGCUUCAGUCUAUCACCCUCAAACUAACGGUCAAGUCGAACGAGCAAAUGGUGUAAUCAUGAGCGGCAUUAAACCCAGGUUAGUGCGGUCCCUCACGGAAUCUAACACGCACUGGGUGGAGGAGCUCGACUCCGUACCCUGGGGGCUGCGGACCACGCCAAAUCGCACCACCGGAUUCACACCAUUUUUUAUGGUAUACGGCGCAGAGGCAGUUUUGCCCUGCGAUAUAAUUCAUGACUCACGUCGCAUGCGCAUGUACGAAGAAAGAGAAGCCGAGUUGGAUCGGCAGGACAAUUUGGACACAUUGGAGGAGGAGCGCGACGUGGCAAAGGCUCGUUCCACAUUCUAUCAGCAGUAGGCUCGAAGAUAUCAAAGCAGAGAAGUACGGGCCAAAACUUACAAUGUUGGCGAACUAGUUCUACGCCUGCCAGACAAGAAAAAGGACAAACUCAAGCCCAAGUGGGAAGGUCCCUUCAUCAUCGAUCAAGUCCCGACCGGCGGAGCAUACCGUCUACGAAACGCAUCGAACAACCGACUCGAGCCGAACCCAUGGAACGCAGCCCGCCUCCGAAGAUUCUACGCCUAGCGCCGGACUCAGAGUUCGUCUCCUUCCUCCGUCCACAUUUUAAACUUUAGCUGUAUUUGGUUUCUCUCUUCCUUCCUCCCUUUUUCGUAAAGCCUUUGUUGGCUGAUCUGCGCAUUGUUUGCACACACUUGACGUGCUGCUCGCACUCAUUAUACCUGGGGGCUUCUUUAACAGAAGCUUAUUUAUACGGGCUUCAUGCCCAACACAUGCGUCACACUUCCGCAUGUACCUUUUAUUCACCAUUAUAUGCAUCGAUAUGACUUAAGUAUUGACCAAGCUGGGUUUCCUGGCUCCUGUGCUUACCCCUACGUUCCCGAUUGUUCGGCUAGGAGGUAAAGGGAGCACCUCUGCGAUUGUUACUGCCGGGUCAGCUGGAUGUGUACCUCAGACUGGGUGAAGCCGAAAGCUAGCAUUCUUAAGGGAAUAUUCGGUCGGUGACUUGAAAGAGGAUUUCUUACUUAUUUAUUUAUCUGCCCCCAGAUGCUUUUCUGCUCUUUUCGCAGUCCGGACAUGCACUUUAGGGCAUGCCUCCCAUGGAAAGGAACCCCUAACGGAACUAUUCUCUUUGGAAGAUGUUUCUCACUAACCAUGUAAUAUAACAUAACUAGUUUGGCACUUGUCUGAUAAAGCACUAAUGACCCCUAUGCCUGGUCUCCAUGCAGCAGCUCGGGAAGUAGGUCACCUGUUGAACCAGACAUUUCCUCCGCAGGACGACCUGUGAGCACACCUACAGACACAUUUCUGUCAAUCGACUUCCUCGCUGAACUCUUCCUUUCAAAAGAGUUUGCUCAAGCACUUACUGUAAAUACCGCGACGAAGCCGCCGACUCUCCUUCACGGAGUCAGACAGCUGGACCCGAACAUCUUUCAGUUCUUCGCCCAGCUAGGUGUUGGCAUCUUGGAGUUCGUUCCUCUCCUGCUGCACCCUCAUAAGCACCUUCUCGCCGGCCUUCAACUGGCGCAAUAGAUGUUGCUUGUCUGAAUCUAGUCCGGCACCAUCUGCAAUAUUAUUGUCAGACUUAUACACAUGCCGCACUUCAUAAACUACUUAUCUUUUUAAAAUAUGUGUUACCAGAGGGGGUCUCUGUGGCUCCCCCUACGGCGGCUAGUGCGGCCUCAAGUUGGGCUUUGCACUCUUGAAGCUCCUGGGACAGGUGGGUAUUCUUAUCCGUAAGAUCCUGCAUUACAAAUGAUCCUUAAAUCAGUUAUUCUAACUAUUUUAAGUCUCGGGGCUACUGGCAUAUAUAACUAUUAAAAUCCCUUACACGUAUGUCUUUCACAUACUGCUCCGUGGCUCUGGUUAAACCAUCUUGAGCGGCACGGAGGUGCGCGUCUCCCGCAUUAAAGGCAUUCAACGCCUCCGGGGAGAAACACGCGUCACGAAGAACUGUCCGGCGGCGCCUGUGAUUCAUGGCGCUCUCCACCUCAGACCUGGUGGCGGACAACCUGUCGGCAUCCUCCGUUGGAGGAGCAUCUGGCUCACGCCUUGCGUUCACCUCCCCCUCCGGACCAGGUGUUGGAGCCUGGCUGGCGGAGGCUUGGUUGGCAACCUCUCCGGGCAUAGUCCGGCGAGCGCUCUUUCUCCUGGAAAAGUCAUGAGCAUUAAUAUACCUCCCAGGAAUCUUUCCCUUAAAAACGGUGGCGUGCCAUACCGUUGCGGCGAUGUUUCGAUUCGCGCCGCACUCCUCUUCCGCCUGCUGGGCCGAACUGACCCUUGUUGGUCAGCCGCCGCGGGUUCGGCUUCCCGCCUUAAAGGCACCUCCUGCGAGGCACCGUUGGUGUACGGUGGUCAGAAAUAAGCAUGGAUGAAGUAAUGGUGCCAGGACUCCGGUCAUAGUUACCUGGGAAUCCGUAGAUAAACUGGGGUAGUUAGCCGUAAUGGCGACUAAAGCAUUGUCCAUGCUAAGUUGGUGGAACACCCCGUCAAUCAGCUCCACCUCUAUGUCCGGAUCCUCUUCGGAGGCCGGAUCAAGGGAUCUUCCCGGAUCCUCGGGUUGUGGAGUCGGGCUGUGUAUGCCCUCCACAUCCCAGCGCAGUUCCUGCGUCGAAAUCACAAAGUAAGACACUUAACUUUGGAAGCACGGAUCGGAUAGAUAAACCUCCGCUUACCCAACUCCGAGGGUUAUUCAUGGAGAGUCCAUUCAAUGGACUCGUGCGGAGGAAGUCCUCUUUCUCCCCCUUGUACAAGCCGGACAGGAUCUUCGCCAGAUCGGCAGCCGAUCCCGGCCCCUUGCGGCCAUGACGGGUGGCGUCAUUCUCCCCGUUGAAAUCCCACAUGGGGUGGCCCCUAUAUUGGAGCGGCUGCACCCCUCUCAUAAUGCACGUGGCCAUGACUCCAAUCAUGGUCAAUCCGGAAUGAGCCAGUAACCUUAUUCGGCCCAUCAGAUAUUGGACGCUCCUAUCAUCCUCCCGUUGAGGGCUCCGCGGGCGCCAACUCAGGCGUUUCUUCAGAGGAGUGUUGCUGAACUCCGGGAGGCCGAUCCGAACUGGGUUCGGCAGCGGGGCGUCUUCCAUAUAAAACCAUACCGAAGGCCAGUCUUCGGACGCCUUCUUCGGGGUUCCGGAUAAGUAUCCGGUCCCGGCGAUGCGCCAUAUUUCGGCUCCUCCCACUUGAUAUAUCGACCCCUCGUGAGAACGGGGUACGAGGCAAAACAAUCUCUUCCACAGCGCAAAAUGGGCCUCGAUGCCCAAGAACAGCUCGCAAAGGGCUACAAAGCCCGCGGUGUGCAAGAUGGAGGCAGGUGUAAGGUGGUGAAGCUGGAGCCCGUAGAACUCCAGGAGCCCCCGGAGAAACGGAUGUAUGGGAAAUCCGAGUCCCCUUACUAGAUAAGGGACGAAGCAUACCCGCUCUCCUUUGGAGGGAUUGGGGGUGCUCUCCGCCUGCUUUCCACCUGUGUAGGUCGCCAGUCCGGCUCGAACCGGAACCAUGAAGGCUGGGGGAAGGUAUGCCUCUGCUUGGAGCGUCACCAGCUCGCUGUGCGGGACUGAACAUCUCCUCCAAUCUCCUGGCUGAGGGCUGGGAGCGCGAGAGGAGGAGCCGCGUCGACUGUCCAUGAUGGAGUGGAUUUUUGUCAGAGGCGCUUCGAUGAGUACUCGCGGAAGGAGGAUGGUGUGAUUCGGAUCUAGAUCCUUGCCACUCUUAUAGGCAGCUUAUUCGCGUAGCUAGGGGGUAAAACGUAAAAAUACUCUGGCUUUUCGCAUUCAUGCGACACGUGGAAGAGGGCCAUUAUUGGACAUGGAAGCCAAGGAGCGCAACAUUUAUAAGGAAGCCGGACACUAUUCGGCAAGCACAUGGAAUUUGGAGGAGAACCCGCCUUGCAACGCCGAAGACAAUAUACAUGCCGGACUCAUCGUCAUUGAAGCCUGGUUCAGGGGCUACUGAGGGAGUCCUGGACUAGGGGGUGUCCGGAUAGCCGAACUAUCAUCAUUGGCCGGACUCCAAGACUAUGAAGAUACAAGAUUGAAGACUUCGUCCCGUGUCCGGAUGGGACUUUCCUUGGCGUGGAAGGCAAGCUUGGCAAUACGGAUAUGUAGAUCUCCUACCAUUGUAACCGACUCUAUGUAACCCUAGCCCUCUCCGGUGUCUAUAUAAACUGGAGGGUUUUAGUCCAUAGGACGAACAACAAUCAUACCAUAGGCUAGCUUCUAGGGUUUAGCCUCCUUGAUCUCGUGGUAGAUCUACUCUUGUACUACCCAUAUCAUCAAUAUCAAUCAAGCAGGAGUAGGGUUUUACCUCCAUCGAGAGGGCCCAAACCUGGGUAAAAACAUCGUGUCCCUUGUCUCCUGUUACCAUCCGCCUAGACGCACAGUUCGGGACCCCCUACCCGAGAUCCGCCGGUUUUGACACCGACACCCAUGUUUGGCCAAUCGAUCAUACGACCCGUAUAAGGCCCAUUGAUGAUACGACCCGCAGAAGGCCCAUUGUUUCUACGGAACGUAGAAGGCCCAUUGUUUCUAUGGCCCGUAGAAGGCCCACUGUUUCUACGGCCAGUAGGAGGCCCAGUGUCACUAUAGUAAAUAUUAGCCCAUGGUUAUUGUGGCCUAGUUUUAAAAAAUAGGUUAUUGCAGCCACUAGCUAACCGCGGAAAAAGAACUACAAUGACUACAAGCAAACAAAUAAACAAGACAACAAGGAAAUAAAUAAGCAAGCAACUAACGCUAGGCUAUCACGGCUAUUACACAUAUUACAUCCACUGGGCAUCAAAGUUCGCCACCAGUGCAAAU